CAGGAGCAGCCUCAGUUCUCAAAUGCAUGUGGUUCAGGAGGGCCAAGAAGGACCGAGAGCAACAGAGCCUGGAUGAGAGCAGGACAAAACCAAGCCCAGGAGAGGAGGGAGGCAGACAGCAGGCAUUCCCUCACCUUCACUCCUCCAUACGCCUGGCAAUGCAGGAAAUCCAGCAGUUCUCUUCCGUUCCCUCGACCAGCUCCUGUACUGAGCUGCAGUCGAGGUCUCAGCAUUGAGGACACGCAGCCCAAGUGACACGAUGAAAACGAUUUAGCCCUGUCAUCUUUGGGUGCUGCUGAGCCUUGCAUAAUUGGGUGAACACAUCCAGAUAUAGAGCAGCCUU